GCAAUAUUCCAGCAAUAUCACGGCGGGGAACACCAGAAAGGGGCUUCACACACUGUACCCAUGUGGGGAAUCGAAACCGGGUCUUCGGCGUGACGAGAGGAGGCUUUAGCCACUAGGUGAACCCACCGCCCCCGAAA